rnacentral:rRNA from 1 species
AUUGAACGCUGGCGGCAGGCCUAACACAUGCAAGUCGAGCGGCAGCGGGACCUUCGGGUUGCCGGCGAGCGGCGGACGGGUGAGUAAUGCCUAGGAAUCUGCCUGUUAGUGGGGGAUAACGCGGGGAAACUCGCGCUAAUACCGCAUACGUCCUACGGGAGAAAGCGGGGGCUCUUCGGACCUCGCGCUAACAGAUGAGCCUAGGUCGGAUUAGCUAGUUGGUGGGGUAAUGGCCCACCAAGGCGACGAUCCGUAACUGGUCUGAGAGGAUGCUCAGUCACACUGGAACUGAGACACGGUCCAGACUCCUACGGGAGGCAGCAGUGGGGAAUAUUGGACAAUGGGCGAAAGCCUGAUCCAGCCAUGCCGCGUGUGUGAAGAAGGUCUUCGGAUUGUAAAGCACUUUAAGUCGGGAGGAAGGGCUGUAGGCUAAUACCUUGCAGUUUUGACGUUACCGACAGAAUAAGCACCGGCUAACUUCGUGCCAGCAGCCGCGGUAACAC